AUUGAACGCUGGCGGCAGGCUUAACACAUGCAAGUCGAGCGGAGAUGAGGUGCUUGCACCUUAUCUUAGCGGCGGACGGGUGAGUAAUGCUUAGGAAUCUGCCUAUUAGUGGGGGACAACAUUCCGAAAGGAAUGCUAAUACCGCAUACGUCCUACGGGAGAAAGCAGGGGAUCUUCGGACCUUGCGCUAAUAGAUGAGCCUAAGUCGGAUUAGCUAGUUGGCGGGGUAAAGGCCUACCAAGGCGACGAUCCGUAGCGGGUCUGAGAGGAUGAUCCGCCACACUGGGACUGAGACACGGCCCAGACUCAUACGGGAGGCAGCAGUGGGGAAUAUUGGACAAUGGGGGGAGACCUGAUCCAGCCAUGCCGCGUGUGUGAAGAAGGCCUUAUGGUUGUAAAGCACUUUAAGCGAGGAGGAGGCUACUGAGAUUAAUACUCUUGGAUAGUGGACGUUACUCGCAGAAUAAGCACCGGCUAACUCUGUGCCAGCCGCCGCAGUAACAC
rnacentral:rRNA from 1 species